rnacentral:rRNA from 1 species
UCGUCUGGCGAUCAAACCCGUAGGCGAAAUCAAGGUGAAGGGAAGCCUUCUUCCCCAGGGAGGAGCGGGGUCCGUCUCCGGGCGGCCCCCCGCACUCCCGGGGCGUCUCCGGCUCAUCGCGAGCGGAGGCGCACCUAGAGCGUCCACGUUGGGACCCGAAAGAUGGUGAACUAUGCCUGGCCAGGACGAAGCCAGGGGAAACCCUGGUGGAGGUCCGUAGCGGUUCUGACGUGCAAAUCGAUCGUCGGAGCUGGGUAUAGGGGCGAAAGACUAAUCGAACCAUCUAGUAGCUGGUUCCCUCCGAAGUUUCCCUCAGGAUAGCUGGCGCCCAGGUGGAGACGAGUCUCAUCUGGUAAAGCGAAUGAUUAGAGGCAUUGGGGUCGAAACGACCUCAACCUAUUCUCAAACUUUAAAUGGAUGAGAACCCCGGCUUGCUCGAUNACGCGUCCGGUGAAGCCGGGGCUCGGAUC